UUACCGAGUUUUCUACUCCCAAACCCCUGUGAACUUAUACCUUUACCGUUGCUUCGGCGGGUUAACGCCCCGGAAAGGCCCCCGAAAGGGAGCCGCCCCGGAACCAGGCGCCCGCCGGGGGACCCAAACUCUUGUAUUUUCUUACCUAGCAUGUCUGAGUGGAAUCAUAAACAAAUGAAUCAAAACUUUCAACAACGGAUCUCUUGGUUCUGGCAUCGAUGAAGAACGCAGCGAAAUGCGAUAAGUAAUGUGAAUUGCAGAAUUCAGUGAAUCAUCGAAUCUUUGAACGCACAUUGCGCCCGCCAGUAUUCUGGCGGGCAUGCCUGUUCGAGCGUCAUUUCAACCCUCAAGCCCCAGCGGCCUGGUGUUGGGGACCGGCGACCUCGCCCGAGCCCGCCCUCCGGGGCGCGUGCCCGGUGCGUCCGCCGCCCCCGAAAUGAAUUGGCGGCCUCGUCGCGGCCUCCUCUGCGUAGUAGCACAACCUCGCAAGCGGGAGCGCGACGCGGCCACUGCCGUAAAACGCCCAACUUUUUUAGAGUUGACCUCGGAUCAGGUAGGAAUACCCGCUGAACUUAAGCAUAUCAAUAAGCGGAGGAAAAGAAACCAACAGGGAUUGCCCCAGUAACGGCGAGUGAAGCGGCAACAGCUCAAAUUUGAAAUCUGGCCCCCAGGGUCCGAGUUGUAAUUUGCAGAGGAUGAUUUUGGCGAGGUGCCUUCCGA
rnacentral:rRNA from 1 species